rnacentral:tRNA from 1 species
CCGUAGCUCAACGGAUAGAGCAUCUGACUACGGAUCAGAAGGCUAGGGGUUCGAAUCCCUUCGGGC